rnacentral:rRNA from 1 species
AGCGAACGCUGGCGGCAGGCCUAACACAUGCAAGUCGAACGAACCUUCCGGGGUUAUUGGCGGCUGGGUGAGUAACCCGUCGGAACGUGCCCUUAGGUUCGGCAUACCUCAGGGACACUUGUGCUAAUACCGAACGUGCCCUUCGGGGGAAAGAUUUUUCGCCGUUCGUGCGGCACGCGUCUGAUUAGCUAGUUGGUUGAGGUAAUGGUACACCCAGGCGACGUUCAGUAGCUGGUAUGAGAGGAUGGUCAGACACAUUGAGAGUGAGACACGGCCCAGACUCCUACGGGAGGGAGCAGAGGGGGAUCGUGCGAAAUGGGCGGAGGCAUGACGCAGCCAGGCCGGGUGAAUGAUGAAGGUCGUAGGAUUGUAAAAUUCUUUCACCGGGGACGAUAAUGACGGUACCCGGAGAAGAAGCCCCGGCUAACUUCGUG